ACGUGUGUUACUUUAAGAUGCGUGUUGAAGGUACACGGCUGGGGGAAUAAACGCUCUGAACACCCACUCCGCACUUAUUUUCUGGAAAAUAGAGAAGUAGUCGAGUUGUCGUCGCAGCUCUGCGUAACGGGGUGUGCAGGAGGAGGUUUUGUAACCUUCCUUGGCAAUUUUGGGUUUUAUGUGGCAUUUCCUGUGCAGGGUCACAGAUAGGAAGGCUCUCGCCCGCGAUCCGAGAUGUUUUCGUGUGCAGCAGACGCGCUGUGAAAUGCACGAGGGCACUGCUGGUGCCUCCUCUGCGAUCCCAACCAUGCUGGGCGUGAAGCACCCAUACACUGUGGCCUAUCCGUGGCUGGUGGGCUCCUUGGGUGUCUUUGAACUUGGGAGAGGGGGCUUUACUUUCGCUGUGUGCAUUUUAUAACAAGCAUUUUUGUUUACAUGAUCGCAUUAUUAAUUCCUUGCUCUGCUGUGAAUAUUUGUAUUUCUCUCAUGGUUUGGCUCUGUGAAAGCCGCAGCCUGGAAGAAGCUCUUCAGUGCCUUUGGAUAAGCCAGAAGCACGGUGUGUUUCUGCUAACUGCAAGGUGUCAGCUGCUGGCUGGAUGUCAGGUCUUGGUGAUGCUGGACUAUGGUAAAUAUACUGCUGAAGCAGCAGGAUCUUCCCAGUUACGGCAGAGCAGCAGGAUCUGGCUUGCAGCUAUGGUCUCAGAAACAUUGGUGCUUCGUUCUGGCAGCUACAAGAGGGCUGUUGUUUUUAAGAACUAAAGUCUCAAGUGACUUACGCAAGGUCACACAGGAAGUCUAUGGCAAGACUGAAUCUCAGUCCAUUUUUAAUCCUUGGGACUACACUUGCAUGUGGCUUGAUCGAGAGACUUAACCAUUUAGCUGUUACUAUUACUUUCAGUUUUAAGUAUUUAAAAUUUUUCAUAUUUAUUGUCCUGAAAUGCUUAUACUUCCAGUGAGCAAGAGACAAUGUGCAAAACUCAGUUCUCUGUAGUCAUUGUAAAGUGAUAUUAAGAGACAUCAACAUUGAUUACAGGCAAAAUGUCACCAAUAAAGAUACUAAUGAUGUGCCGGAGAAUUAGAAU
rnacentral:lncRNA from 1 species